rnacentral:rRNA from 1 species
CAGUAGCCGCGGUAAUACGAAGGGGGCUAGCGUUGUUCGGAUUUACUGGGCGUAAAGGGCGCGUAGGCGGGCUGAUAAGUCAGGGGUGAAAUCCCGAGGCUCAACCUCGGAACUGCCUUUGAUACUGUUGGUCUUGAGUUCGAGAGAGGUAAGUGGAACUGCGAGUGUAGAGGUGAAAUUCGUAGAUAUUCGCAAGAACACCAGUGGCGAAGGCGGCUUACUGGCUCGAUACAGACGCUGAGGCGCGAAAGCGUGGGGAGCAUACAGGAUUAGAUACCCGGGUAGUCCCUGUCUCUUAUAC